GAAACCGAGUCUUAACUGGGCGUUAAGUUGCAGGGUAUAGACCCGAAACCCGGUGAUCUAGCCAUGGGCAGGUUGAAGGUUGGGUAACACUAACUGGAGGACCGAACCGACUAAUGUUGAAAAAUUAGCGGAUGACUUGUGGCUGGGGGUGAAAGGCCAAUCAAACCGGGAGAUAGCUGGUUCUCCCCGAAAGCUAUUUAGGUAGCGCCUCGUGAAUUCAUCUCCGGGGGUAGAGCACUGUUUCGGCAAGGGGGUCAUCCCGACUUACCAACCCGAUGCAAACUGCGAAUACCGGAGAAUGUUAUCACGGGAGACACACGGCGGGUGCUAACGUCCGUCGUGAAGAGGGAAACAACCCAGACCGCCAGCUAAGGUCCCAAAGUCAUGGUUAAGUGGGAAACGAUGUGGGAAGGCCCAGACAGCCAGGAUGUUGGCUUAGAAGCAGCCAUCAUUUAAAGAAAGCGUAAUAGCUCACUGGUCGAGUCGGCCUGCGCGGAAGAUGUAACGGGGCUAAACCAUG
rnacentral:rRNA from 1 species